GAACGGCGCCUGAGAGAGCGGUUUGCUAGCCUCAUACGAGCCAUCCUGAUCUCGGCAGGUUUACUAUCUGUUUCGCUACAUGGAUAUAAUCUGGCCACGAUCAGACUCAAAACGGUGGGGGAACCUCCCUUCCGUCCACCGUAUGGCCAGACCAAUCAGCAUCCUCUGAUAAUCUGUGGGGGUGGUUAAAUGGUUGAGGACAACGAAAAUCAAAAAUCAUAACAACAAUGACUGGAGGUUGCUGUUAACCGCUGCUGUAGCAGUAUCAUGUCAGAACGGAAGGGCAUAACUUAAUUGAAAGAACAGCAAAUAGCUGCAUUGAAGGCUUUUCUCGGCGGAGAAGAUGAUUUUCGUUCUUCUCCCGAAUGGGUUUGCCAAGCACUUGAUUUACCAGCUAGGUCCACUGGUAGACAAGAAAAUGGGACGGUUCAAUAACCCAAUUCUCAUUGUUGUGUCAACGUGGGUCGUUUUAAUGGAGGUUCACAUCACAUACAAAUGGGGAGAGGUCGCAAAAGGGGAGCCAGCCAUCAGAGAGAGCUUUGCAGAGUUGGGGAAACUGAUUCAUAGCCGAAGAGGGAAAUCACGCAUAGAACGAGCAGUAUGGAUGAGCCUGCAGGAAGGGUACCACAUGAGGGAGGAGGAUGUCUUCCCUGUAACACACAGCAUUGAGAUUGCCUGCAAUGACAACAAGCGCAGUCCAAUGAUGCUGUGACACACCGCCGCAGACCAUGACGGACCCUCCACCUCCAAAUUGAUCCCGCUCCAGAGUACAGGCCUCAUUCCUUCGACGAUAAACGUGAAUCCGACCAUCACCCCUGGUGAGACAAAACUGCGACUCGUCAGUGAAGAGCACUUUUUGACAGUCCUGUCUGGUCCAGCGACGGUGGGUUUGUUCCCAUAGGCGACAUUGUUGCCGGUGAUGUCUGGUGAUGACCUGCCUUACAACAGGCCUACAAGCCCUCGGUCCAGCCUCUCUCAGCCUAUUGCGGACAGUCUGAGCACUGAUGGAGGGAUUGUGCGUUCUUGGUGUAACUCGGGCAGUUAUUGUUGCCAUCCUGUACCUGUUCCGCAGGUGUAAUGUUCGGAUGUACCAAUCCUGUGCAGGUGUUGUUACACGUGGUCUGCCACUGCGAAGAUGAUCAGCAGUCCGUCCCGUCUCCCUGUAGCGCUGUCUUAGGCGUCUCACAGUAUGGACAUUGCAAUUUAUUGCCCUGGUCACAUCUGCAGUCCUCAUGCCUCCUUGCAGCAUGCCUAAGGCACGUUCACGCAGAUGAGCAGGGACCCUGGGCAUCUUUAUUUGGUGUUUUCAGAGUCAGUAGAAAGACCUCUUUAGUGUCUUAUGUUUUCAUAACUGUGACCUUAUUUGCCUACCGUCUGUAAGCUGUUAGUGUCUUAACGACUGUUCCACAGGUGCAUGUUCAUGAAUUGGUUAUGGUUCAUUUAAACUGUGUUUAAACCCUUUUACAAUGAAGAUCUGUGAAGUUAUUUGGAUUUUUACGAAUUAUCUUUGAAAGACAGGGUCCUGAAAAAGAGGACGUUUCUUUUUUUGCUGAGUUUAUAUCCCAAAUCAUUGCAGGAUAAAAUAAUAUAUAAUUCAACAAACAGAAAAACGGUGGAUUUUUCUCCAUCCUCCCAUUAUUCAGAAUAUAUAAUUUUCAUUGUCAUGGGACACUUUGUUUGAGAGCUAUUGACGAUUGAAUGCCAGAGAAUUAAAAAAAACUUUAACCAGAAAAAAAGCGGUGGAUUUUUCUCCAUCCUCCCCUGAUUCAGAAUAUAUCAUUUUCAUAGUCAUGGCAUUGAGCAAUAGCCCUGGUUCCCACAGACACAGUAGUAUAUGUUUUGUGCCUGGCUGAAUCCUAUGUCACAGCCACUGACAAAACACUUGUCUCGAAUCCUUACAUUGUAGCGCAGCAGGAGAGAAAGGUUUCACCACGGUAGCACAUUGAGAUCAAUUUAUAACCGUUAAUAUCAAAUAAUGUGAUUUGAAACAAAAAAAUACUUUCUGUUUGUCAAGAUUAAUAUGAGAUGAAAGGCGAGUGUGAUCUUCAUAGCAGUGGGGGCAGAUGUUUUGAUCAAGAGAGACCUUUAGAAAACAUGUACAUUUUCUCUAAAACCAGACAUACAGAUGCAUUUUCAGUUACAGUAUAAGGAAGGUGAAGUCUUAUGGUUUUUGGUUAAUGUUUUUUAUAAUUUGAUUAUACUAUACGUCAUUUCAAACCUUAUUCAUACAGUUUUGUUGAAUAGGAAAUAAAUAUUUCAUAUUUUUAUCAUAUUUGUACUGUGUACUUGAGUUCGUGUCCUCAACAGUGUCUACACCUCAGCAUUUUAUUAAAAAAAUAUACCAGAA